GGGGUAGAAUUCCAGGUGUAGCGGUGAAAUGCGUAGAGAUCUGGAGGAAUACCGGUGGCGAAGGCGGCCCCCUGGACGAAGACUGACGCUCAGGUGCGAAAGCGUGGGGAGCAAACAGGAUUAGAUACCCUGGUAGUCCACGCCGUAAACGAUGUCGACUUGGAGGUUGUGCCCUUGAGGCGUGGCUUCCGGAGCUAACGCGUUAAGUCGACCGCCUGGGGAGUACGGCCGCAAGGUUAAAACUCAAAUGAAUUGACGGGGGCCCGCACAAGCGGUGGAGCAUGUGGUUUAAUUCGAUGCAACGCGAAGAACCUUACCUGGUCUUGACAUCCACGGAAGUUUUCAGAGAUGAGAAUGUGCCUUCGGGAACCGUGAGACAGGUGCUGCAUGGCUGUCGUCAGCUCGUGUUGUGAAAUGUUGGGUUAAGUCCCGCAACGAGCGCAACCC
rnacentral:rRNA from 1 species